CCAUAGAAUGGUGCCCUAUACAUUCAUCACAAAAAUUUCACACAAAACCUAAGUGAUUUCAAGAGAUUCAAGUGAUUCUAGUGCCAAAAACCCGGACUGCUUGCUAGUUUCUCUUCCUCCUUCUUGUAGCUGCUUUGGGGGACUGAUUUGACAUGAAGAAGGACUAAGUUUCGUGGUUUAUACUCAGUCCAAGGUUGAAGCACUAUGGGGAGUAUAUAUUGAGUCAUUGAGAACAAAGGUCUACAGAUACCAGUUGGUGAUCCAUCUAUUAAGAUGUCAGCUCUGCGGAUGAAGUUGGUGCACUCCAUUUGUUUCGGAGGUGCCAGGAGUCAGCAUGGUCUUAUGUAUAUAUAGAUAUGUACGCACACAUGUAUAGGUAUGGCGAGGCCUUGUCUCGGCCACAGUAUGUUAUGUUUUCUAGUAGAUGCUUGUAGGCAGUUAUGUACAGUCAGCUAAUGUCCAGACUUGAGAUUUCAUGGGUCAUCGCAGUUGGUUAUGAUGGUCGUACCGGCCUAUACAGUAUGUCUAAUAUUUUCACAGCCGAGUCUUUCAGAACAAUU